GUUGUAGCUCUCCAGUAGGCCUCCACUGAACAUCGCCUUGUCUGGAAGGGAUAGGAGUGCCUUUUAACUGCUUCCCACAGAGCCUCUGCUUACACCAGAAUGGAGGGGUCUUAUUAGCACUGGCGUUGAUGGCAAUCCUGAUUCUCUAUUUAACUUCCUCUGAUAUCACUCCAGUCAGGAGUGGGUGGAGGUCACCUUAUGAUGGAUAGAAAUUCUACAUCCACAAGUAGUCACCACUGACAUCAAGGGGAGGGAGAUGGCUUAUUAUCUACCCAAUAAGGAUGAAAGUCCUGGCUUUCUAAUUGGCCUUCUCUGACACCACAAGGGAGGAAUUAGGUGCCUAGAAAAUGUGGAAGUCUACUUUCCCCACCCUUACUGACACAAAUCUCAGUGACACCGGCAUAAACAAGCUGACAGGAGGAUACGGUUUAAGAAUUUACAAGAUUUCUAACUGCCAAUAGGCCAGACAUCCUCAGGCAAGCACCUUCUCUCCCUGUAGGCAAGGUUAAUUAAACAUGCCAACUUAUUAGAAAAAAAAGAGGAAGGAAGGAAAUUAUGUUUCACAGCGCAUCUUAUAUAAGAGAUCAGAGCAAGAAUCAAAAGGUGUUCUGUGAGAAGAAAAAUGUACAAUAAUGGAAGACAGGCACUCUCUCAGACUGUACUCAAUUAAGGUAAAAGAGGACCAUUAAUGAGUCUCAGAACUACAGAGAGAAUAUAAAUGCAUAUUGGCUGGGCUGAAUAUAUAGACGUCAGCAGGUCCCAAGAGGCCUUGCCAUUCUGUUGUUACAUCUUUGACUGUUUCUGCUGUCAUGUAAGAAAAUCCAGCUGGACUACCUAAUGAAGAAACUGCAUGAUGAAAGCGGCUCACACAACAGCCAUCACCGAGGCACCAGACAGGAAUCCAGAAGUUUCUGCCAAAACCCACAGGGAGCAUGGAAGAUAGCUGAGGAGAGAGUCAGAGGCUUGCACUGAAGAGGCAGUGGCCAAGUGGCAUAAAGGAAGCUGAACCCACCACAUCAGAGACACCUGGCCCAGGGAGGUAGGCUGAGGCACAGGAGAGCUGCAGUGUCUCUCUCAAAGGGCCUUCCAUCCUAAAGAAAAUACUUCUGAACAAGGAUGUGCGUGUAUUUCCCGCCAUAUGUGGCACUAUGUAUUAUCUCUAUCUCAAAAUCAAUCAUUUCAUAUGUUUUAAUAAAAUUAUACAGUGAUUUAAUCACAACUGUAAAAUGUGUUAAUAAAAGAUAAUUGUAUACAUACAUUUUAAUGCACAAAUUAAAUUUCUGUAAAGGGAACUUUACUAACUGUGACAGUAGUCAAAGUUUAAUGUCCCAUGAAAAGGUUAAGAAUGUCAGGUUGGUUUUCACAGAAUAUUAACCUAUUGUACCAGAAAAUUAAAAUAAGAGAAAGAAUUAAAUAAAUAAGCUCACUAAUGGUA
rnacentral:lncRNA from 1 species